GGGGAUUUAGCUAAGUGGCAUAAGCACCUGCCUUGCAAGCAGCGGUCCUGAGUUCAAUCCCCG
rnacentral:tRNA from 1 species